GGACUACAAGCGGGUCGGUAUUCGGGUAGAAGUCGACCCGAUUUGAACCGGACGCCGCAAGCGUUGCAGAGAGUUUUUGCUCCGAGGGGGCCGGUUCUCCACUGGGGAGUUUUCUGGACUCCGCAAUGGCUGCACCGCCGAGGCGGCUGGGCUCCGAUGGUGGUUUUGGACUUUUCUGACGGCGACUUUCUCCUUGGUUUCUUCGAGACCGGAAUUUCCGGUUCGAAACGGUCGGAUAUGAUGAGCCAAGGACUUGCCGGCGACGAUGAGGAGGACGACGUUGUGGAACAGGAGGAUGACUCGGUCAACGACGGUGAACCAAGGCACCAAACUCGACCGGUGGUUCUCGUCCGUUUGCUUCUAGCCUUCACCGGAAUGGGGGUCUUGAAACAGGGGUCCGGCGGCGAAACGGGACC
rnacentral:misc_RNA from 1 species